rnacentral:rRNA from 1 species
UCAGGACGAACGCUGGCGGCGUGCUUAACACAUGCAAGUCGAGCGGUAAGGCCUUUCGGGGUACACGAGCGGCGAACGGGUGAGUAACACGUGGGUGAUCUGCCCUGCACUUCGGGAUAAGCCUGGGAAACUGGGUCUAAUACCGGAUAUGACCUCCUAUCGCAUGGUGGGUGGUGGAAAGAUUUAUCGGUGCAGGAUGGGCCCGCGGCCUAUCAGCUUGUUGGUGGGGUAAUGGCCUACCAAGGCGACGACGGGUAGCCGACCUGAGAGGGUGACCGGCCACACUGGGACUGAGACACGGCCCAGACUCCUACGGGAGGCAGCAGUGGGGAAUAUUGCACAAUGGGCGAAAGCCUGAUGCAGCGACGCCGCGUGAGGGACGACGGCCUUCGGGUUGUAAACCUCUUUCAGCAGGGACGAAGCGCAAGUGACGGUACCUGCAGAAGAAGCACCGGCUAACUACGUGCCAGCAGCCGCGGUAAUACGUAGGGUGCAAGCGUUGUCCGGAAUUACUGGGCGUAAAGAGUUCGUAGGCGGUUUGUCACGUCGUUUGUGAAAACUCACAGCUCAACUGUGAGCCUGCAGGCGAUACGGGCAGACUUGAGUACUGCAGGGGAGACUGGAAUUCCUGGUGUAGCGGUGAAAUGCGCAGAUAUCAGGAGGAACACCGGUGGCGAAGGCGGGUCUCUGGGCAGUAACUGACGC